rnacentral:rRNA from 1 species
GACGAACGCUGGCGGCGUGCUUAACACAUGCAAGUCGAACGGAAAGGCCUGCUUUCCCUUGUGGAUUGCGGGUACUCGAGUGGCGAACGGGUGAGUAACACGUGAGUGAUCUGCCCCCAACUUGGGUAUAAGCCUGGGAAACUGGGUCUAAUUCCCGAUAGGACUGCAGGGUGGAGCCUGUGGUGGAAAACGAUUUUCUAGUGGUUGGGGAUGAGCUCGCGGCCUAUCAGCUUGUUGGUGGGGUAAUGGUCUACCAAGGCGGCGACGGGUAGCCGGCCUGAGAGGGUGGACGGCCACAUUGGGACUGAGAUACGGCCCAGACUCCUACGGGAGGCAGCAGUGGGGAAUAUUGCACAAUGGGCGGAAGCCUGAUGCAGCGACGCCGCGUGGGGGAUGACGGCCUUCGGGUUGUAAACUCCUUUCGACCGCGAGGAAGCCACCUGGUUGGAAGGGUGGUGACGGUAGUGGUAGAAGAAGCACCGGCUAACUACGUG